GGUUAUGGCUCAGCGGUAGAGCGCAUGCCUAGCACGUGUGAGACCCUGGAUUCAAUUCUCAGCACCA
rnacentral:tRNA from 1 species